CCAUUAACAAGGGAAUAAGCCUCUUCCAUUAGCCUCUCCCAUCUCUGGACACAAUGUGGACCAACUGUCUCUCAAGAAUAGGCCGGGAGACCUCCGGGAAGAGACUGAUACAGUGGACAGAGCAGGCAUCAGGGACUGAGGAAGGCCGGGAAGCUGGCAAGGGCAGCGCAAAGCAGUGGAGCUUGGAAUCUAAGGCUGGAUAGAGUCCUGUGGAGCCAGCAGACAGCGUGUAAAAUGACAGGGGCUGACUCGUUGCACAGGGCAGUUCUAGCAACUUGUGGCAGGUUUGCUUGGGAGAAAAUAGGUAAAGCAAUUGGGUCAUAGAAGGGGAAUGCUGAGUAAAGAGAUCUCAGAAGUUUAGAAGCCCUGGUGCUAAUCAGAUCCGGCCUCUUCACAUUCCAAACCAAGACAGAUAGAGAGGGAAGUACAGGAAAUCAAGAAAGUUACAGAGUCCUGUGAAAUCGAGGAGUCUAAAGGAGCAACAGCUCAGAUGUUGAAAGAUCCUGGGAACAUUGAUGAGUGGCAAAAUGGAGAAUAAAAUCAGCCAGAUCCUAAAGUCACUUGGGUGGGUACAAAAUGCUUACUAUGGUAUUGGCAACUGCACCAACAAUUUGAAGAAGAAAAUGUAAAAAGAUGGAAUUAUAGUAGAUAAUAUAUAUAUAGUAGAUAAUAUAUAGUAGCUAAUUCCUAUAGUAGAUAGGAAAAAGGGAAGAAGAAGUACAGAGAAGAGAAGUGAUAAAAGAUUAGGAAGGUUAGAUUUAAAAAUAUAUAUAUUUUCCAUUUG
rnacentral:lncRNA from 1 species